rnacentral:rRNA from 1 species
GCGGCGUGCCUAAUCAUGCAAGUUGAGCGAAUGGAUUGAGAGCUUGCUCUCAAGAAGUUAGCGGCGGACGGGUGAGUAACACGUGGGUAACCUGCCCAUAAGACUGGGAUAACUCCGGGAAACCGGGGCUAAUACCGGAUAACAUUUUGAACUGCAUGGUUCGAAAUUGAAAGGCGGCUUCGGCUGUCACUUAUGGAUGGACCCGCGUCGCAUUAGCUAGUUGGUGAGGUAACGGCUCACCAAGGCAACGAUGCGUAGCCGACCUGAGAGGGUGAUCGGCCACACUGGGACUGAGACACGGCCCAGACUCCUACGGGAGGCAGCAGUAGGGAAUCUUCCGCAAUGGACGAAAGUCUGACGGAGCAACGCCGCGUGAGUGAUGAAGGCUUUCGGGUCGUAAAACUCUGUUGUUAGGGAAGAACAAGUGCUAGUUGAAUAAGCUGGCACCUUGACGGUACCUAACCAGAAAGCCACGGCUAACUACGUGCCAGCAGCCGCGGUAAUACGUAGGUGGCAAGCGUUAUCCGGAAUUAUUGGGCGUAAAGCGCGCGCAGGUGGUUUCUUAAGUCUGAUGUGAAAGCCCACGGCUCAACCGUGGAGGGUCAUUGGAAACUGGGAGACUUGAGUGCAGAAGAGGAAAGUGGAAUUCCAUGUGUAGCGGUGAAAUGCGUAGAGAUAUGGAGGAACACCAGUGGCGAAGGCGACUUUCUGGUCUGUAACUGACACUGAGGCGCGAAAGCGUGGGGAGCAACAGGAUUAGAUACCCUGGUAGUCCCGCCGUAAACGAUGAGUGCUAGUGU